GGAGGGAGGCGGCUGCUGAGGCUGGGGAAGGGGAGCCACUCCCAGGGCGGAGGGAGGAAGCCUCUCCCGGUUACCAGGGAGCAAGGGGUGGUCCUUUGUCGAGGAGGUGGGCCUUGGGGUUGACGGAAGCUUCGCGUGGGAGGAGGCGGCGGCGGCGGCAGCGGCUGCUGGGCUCCAGGGGAGGGAUUUCCUGCUUAAGUGUCGCUGUGACGGCCUGGGCUCCGGGAGGAGGCGCAGGGAUCCUCGGAAAGGCCUGUGGUGCGGUUUGGUGGAUUUGGGGCGCACCACCUCCGCCCUAACCCCAACCCCAACGUGUCCCCAGGCCGGAUCACCUCAACAGUCACGUCAGACAAGUGCACUCAACAGAACGGCCCUUCAAAUGUGAGAAAUGUGAGGCAGCUUUCGCCACGAAGGAUCGGCUGCGGGCGCACACAGUACGACACGAGGAGAAAGUGCCAUGUCACGUGUGUGGCAAGAUGCUGAGCUCGGCUUAUAUUUCGGACCACAUGAAGGUGCACAGCCAGGGUCCUCACCAUGUCUGUGAGCUCUGCAACAAAGGCUUCACCACGGCAGCAUACCUGCGCAUCCACGCGGUGAAGGACCACGGGCUCCAGGCCCCGCGGGCUGACCGCAUCCUGUGCAAGCUGUGCAGCGUGCACUGCAAGACCCCUGCCCAGCUGGCCGGCCACAUGCAGACCCAUCUGGGGGGGGCCGCCCCCCCUGUCCCGGGAGACGCCCCCCAGCCACAGCCCACCUGCUGAGGGGGACCCCCGCACCCACCAGGUACUGGUGAGGUUUGUCCAAUGGCGGCGGCAGCGGCAGCGGCGGCAGCGGCAGCAGCGGCAGCAGUAGCAGCCCCUCCCACAGCUGUGGGCUCCCUCUCGGGGGCGGAGGGGGUGCCUGUGAGCUCUCAGCCACUUCCCUCCCAACCCUGGUGAGCUCCAAGUUGGUUGCGGGGGAGAGGGGAGAAUGGAGUAGAGUCCCUUGGUACAAGCUCCUCUCCCCCCUCUUUUCCCACCAACUCCUAUUUCCCUACCAACCAAGGAGCCUCCAGAAGGAAAGGAGGAAGAAAUGUUUUCUUAGGGGAAUUCGCUAGGUUUUAACGAUUUGUUUCUCCUGCUCCUCUUCUGUCAGACCUGACCCCACACAAACCUGUCCCCUCGGUUGUGUUGAAGUCCCCUGGACAGUGGGCAGGGGUGGCAGAGGACACGAGCAGCCACUGCCCGUACCCCCUCUCCUCUCUGUAAGCCCAUGCCCUGUCUUCCCAGGGACUUGUGAGCCUCUUCCCUCGACGGUCCUCUUCUCUCCUUCCAGUCCUCUCCCCCUGCUGUCUGCAGCCCCUCCCCGGGGAGUUGGUGCUUUCUUUUCCUUUUUUUUUUUUUUCCAGGGGGAGGGAGGAGAGGAAGGAGGGGGAUCAGAGCUGUCCCAAAGAGGGAAAGCGGUGAGGUUUGAGGAGGGGCAGAAGCAGGGCCGGCAAAGGUUGUACCUUCAUAAGGUGGUAUGGGGGGUUGGGGUCAGGCCCUGAACAUCGUCCUACUUGAGAAUCUGUCAGGGGAAAAAGUCAAGGGGAGCAGGAGGAAGAGCCAGGAGGGCCAGAGGCAGAGAAGAGAUGGAGUCUUAGGGGCCAGGGUGAGCGAGGGGUCCAGGGCCUAGAGGUGCUUCCUGGGGGCGGGGGAAUGCAGCCAGUGUCCCCCUCCCCUCUUCCACCCCAGCUCCAGCCCUGGUCUUGUCUUUUCAUCCCUCUUCCCCACGACAGAAGAAGUUGUGGCCCUGGCCAUGUCAUCGUGUUCCUGUGUCCCCUGCAUGUACCCCACCCUCCACCCCUUCCUUUUGCGCGGACCCCAUUACAAUAAAUUUUAAAU
rnacentral:lncRNA from 1 species